rnacentral:rRNA from 1 species
GAUGAACGCUGGCGGCGUGCCUAAUACAUGCAAGUCGAGCGAAUGGAUUAAGAGCUUGCUCUUAUGAAGUUAGCGGCGGACGGGUGAGUAACACGUGGGUAACCUGCCCAUAAGACUGGGAUAACUCCGGGAAACCGGGGCUAAUACCGGAUAACAUUUUGAACCGCAUGGUUCGAAAUUGAAAGGCGGCUUCGGCUGUCACUUAUGGAUGGACCCGCGUCGCAUUAGCUAGUUGGUGAGGUAACGGCUCACCAAGGCAACGAUGCGUAGCCGACAUGAGAGGGUGAUCGGCCACCGUGGGAAUGAGACACGGCCCAGACUCCUACGGGAGGCAGCAGUAGGGAAUCUUCCGCGAUGGACGAAAGUCUGACGGAGCAACGCCGCGUGAGUGAUGAAGGCUUUCGGGUCGUAAAACUCUGUUGUUAGGGAAGAACAAGUGCUAGUUGAAUAAGCUGGCACCUUGACGGUACCUAACCAGAAAGCCACGGCUAACUACGUGCCAGCCGCCGCAGUAA